rnacentral:lncRNA from 1 species
UAACGGUAAGAAAAAAAGUAAUAACGUCAAUAUUAUUUAUAGAAAUAACAUAUAUGGAAAUAACAUAUAUGGAAAUAACAGCAAUAACCAAUAGUGGUAAUAACAGUAAUAACAGCGAUAGCAAUAGUUGUAAUAACAGUAAUGCCAACAAUAAUAUCCCAUAACAACUAUACUAAUACACACAGCAUAAAAACAACAAUAACUAAAAACAUUAUGUUAAUUAAUGACUCGGACAAUAGCCACGACGAUGACAACGGAAGAAUGCAUUGCACAAGGGAACCAGUUGUCUCAAUUCAGGUGUUGCUAUUGUAUGUUAGUUGGUUAAACAAGACAUUCCCAUAAUAUCCAGAUUUAUUUUUUCACCUCUCCAUUGACUCAGGGACAAAUGGAUGAUGAUUAUUUGCCAAUAAAUAACAACUGAAUACCAGUCUACAAUUGUCUGAUUAUCGAUACCAAGGUCGCCAUCUCCUGACAGAAGUACACGUAACAGAUCUAAAUGCAUCAGGAUCUAUUAUUUUGUCGAUUACUUCAUUCAACUCGAGAAAUAGUGACAGCAGUGGAUUUGCAGCUACGGUGAAAUUAAGAUCGACUGAUACAUCUAUCGCACAUAUCAAGAUACAGGACAUACUUGUUUUCUUCUGAUAAUACAGAAAAUAUUUGACUAGAGAGAAUAUCAAUUAUACAAACCACACAGU